rnacentral:rRNA from 1 species
CCUACGGGUGGCAGCAGUGGGGAAUAUUGCACAAUGGGGGAAACCCUGAUGCAGCGACGCCGCGUGAGUGAAGAAGUAUUUCGGUGUGUAAAGCUCUAUCAGCAGGGAAGAAGUAAGACGGUACCUGACUACGAAGCCCCGGCUAACUACGUGCCAGUCGGCGCGGUAAUACGUAGGGGGCAAGCGUUAUCCGGGUUUACUGGGGGUAAAGGGAGCGUAGACGGCUGUGCAGGUCUUAAGUGAAAGCCCAGGGCUCAACCCUGGGAUUGCUUUGGAAACUGUGGAGCUAGAGUGCUGGAGAGGUAAGUGGAAUUCCUAGUGUAGCGGUGAAAUGCGUAGAUAUUAGGAGGAACACCAGUGGCGAAGGCGGCUUACUGGACAGUAACUGACGUUGAGGCUCGAAAGCGUGGGGAGCAAACAGGAUUAGAUACCCUUGUAGUC